rnacentral:rRNA from 1 species
UACGAGUGCCCCAAGCGUUAUCCGGAAUCAUUGGGCGUAAAGGGUGUGUAGGCGGCAUGGUUAGUCUCUUGUCAAAGCUCCUGGCUUAACCGGGAAAAUGCAAGGGAAACGGCCAUUGCUAGAGGAUGUGAGAGGUGAAUGGAACUCAUGGUGUAGGGGUGAAAUCCGUUGAUAUCAUGGGGAACACCAAAAGCGAAGGCAAUUCACUGGCGCAUUCCUGACGCUGAAACACGAAAGCGUGGGUAGCGAAUGGG